AUAAAAUUAAAAGGUAACAACUGGCCACCACUAUAGUGUAGAAGCUCAAUAACAAAGGUACCUUACCAUCGGUAAAUGUACGUGAAGGAAAAUGUAGAGACCCGUCUUAAGGAAAAUGCAGAGA